GACGAACGCUGGCGGCGUGCUUAACACAUGCAAGUCGAACGGAGUUUCUUGGAUCAAGACUUCGGUCAAGUGAAUGGAAACUUAGUGGCGGACUGGUGAGUAACGCGUGAGGAACCUGCCUUUCAGAGGGGGACAACAGUUGGAAACGACUGCUAAUACCGCAUGACGCAUAGACACGGCAUCGUGACUAUGCCAAAGAUUUUAUCGCUGAAAGAUGGCCUCGCGUCUGAUUAGCUAGUUGGUGGGGUAACGGCCUACCAAGGCGACGAUCAGUAGCCGGACUGAGAGGUUGACCGGCCACAUUGGGACUGAGAUACGGCCCAG
rnacentral:rRNA from 1 species